rnacentral:lncRNA from 1 species
UGUUGGGUGGAGCUUUGGGCGGACAGGGGAGGUUCUGUCCGUUCGGCGUCUAUGGACGUACCGAGACCGACCAAAUUGGCUGUCGCGGGGCGUGACAAAUAUAGUGGCAGAUGCGUUGAGCAAGAAGUUUGUGCAGAGUUUGAGCAUGUUGAUCACUCAGCAGAGACCGUUACUUGAGGAGAUGCAGCAACUGAGGCUCUAGGUAGUGUCCCCUGGAACUACUGUAAGACUAAUGUCUAUGGUCUUGCAGCCCAUUCUGUUGGAUAGGAUCAGGGAGAAACAGAGUGGAGACCCUCAUUUGUUAAAGGUCCGAGAGCAGAUUGAGAGAGGACAGGUAGAGGGCUUCAUUAUUGAUAGUUCGAGAGUAUUGCGGUAGAGGGAUCGUUUGUGUGUGCCUAUGGAUUCAGAGAUCUGAGAAGAGAUUUUGAGAUAGGCUCAUU